CACGUAGGCGGUGAAUCGGGUUGAAAGUGAAAGUCGCCAAAAAGUGGCGGAAUGCUCUCGAAACCAAUUCACUUGAGUGAGACAGGGGAGAGUGGAAUUUCGUGCGUAGGGGUGAAAUCCGUAGAUCUACGAAGGAACGCCAAAAGCGAAGGCAGCUCUCUGGGUCCCUACCGACGCUGGGUGCGAAAGCAUGGGGAGCGAACA
rnacentral:rRNA from 1 species